rnacentral:rRNA from 1 species
UUUAUGGAGAGUUUGAUCCUGGCUCAGGAUGAACGCUGGCGGCGUGCCUAAUACAUGCAAGUCGAGCGAACGGACGAGAAGCUUGCUUCUCUGAUGUUAGCGGCGGACGGGUGAGUAACACGUGGAUAACCUACCUAUAAGACUGGGAUAACUUCGGGAAACCGGAGCUAAUACCGGAUAAUAUUUUGAACCGCAUGGUUCAAAAGUGAAAGACGGUCUUGCUGUCACUUAUAGAUGGAUCCGCGCUGCAUUAGCUAGUUGGUAAGGUAACGGCUUACCAAGGCAACGAUGCAUAGCCGACCUGAGAGGGUNAUCGGCCACACUGGAACUGAGACACGGUCCAGACUCCUACGGGAGGCAGCAGUAGGGAAUCUUCCGCAAUGGGCGAAAGCCUGACGGAGCAACGCCGCGUGAGUGAUGAAGGUCUUCGGAUCGUAAAACUCUGUUAUUAGGGAAGAACAUAUGUGUAAGUAACUGUGCACAUCUUGACGGUACCUAAUCAGAAAGCCACGGCUAACUACGUGCCAGCAGCCGCGGUAAUACGUAGGUGGCAAGCGUUAUCCGGAAUUAUUGGGCGUAAAGCGCGCGUAGGCGGUUUUUUAAGUCUGAUGUGAAAGCCCACGGCUCAACCGUGGAGGGUCAUUGGAAACUGGAAAACUUGAGUGCAGAAGAGGAAAGUGGAAUUCCAUGUGUAGCGGUGAAAUGCGCAGAGAUAUGGAGGAACACCAGUGGCGAAGGCGACUUUCUGGUCUGUAACUGACGCUGAUGUGCGAAAGCGUGGGGAUCAAACAGGAUUAGAUACCCUGGUAGUCCACGCCGUAAACGAUGAGUGCUAAGUGUUAGGGGGUUUCCGCCCCUUAGUGCUGCAGCUAACGCAUUAAGCACUCCGCCUGGGGAGUACGACCGCAAGGUUGAAACUCAAAGGAAUUGACGGGGACCCGCACAAGCGGUGGAGCAUGUGGUUUAAUUCGAAGCAACGCGAAGAACCUUACCAAAUCUUGACAUCCUUUGACAACUCUAGAGAUAGAGCUUUCCCCUUCGGGGGACAAAGUGACAGGUGGUGCAUGGUUGUCGUCAGCUCGUGUCGUGAGAUGUUGGGUUAAGUCCCGCAACGAGCGCAACCCUUAAGCUUAGUUGCCAUCAUUAAGUUGGGCACUCUAAGUUGACUGCCGGUGACAAACCGGAGGAAGGUGGGGAUGACGUCAAAUCAUCAUGCCCCUUAUGAUUUGGGCUACACACGUGCUACAAUGGACAAUACAAAGGGCAGCGAAACCGCGAGGUCAAGCAAAUCCCAUAAAGUUGUUCUCAGUUCGGAUUGUAGUCUGCAACUCGACUACAUGAAGCUGGAAUCGCUAGUAAUCGUAGAUCAGCAUGCUACGGUGAAUACGUUCCCGGGUCUUGUACACACCGCCCGUCACACCACGAGAGUUUGUAACACCCGAAGCCGGUGGAGUAACCUUUUAGGAGCUAGCCGUCGAAGGUGGGACAAAUGAUUGGGGUGAAGUCGUAACAAGGUAGCCGUAUCGGAAGGUGCGGCUGGAUCACCUCCUUUCU